CUAUUUAUUUAUUUAUAAAAUAUUUUACCAGGAAAGAUACAUUGAGAUUUCCCUUGUUUUCAAGUAUGUCCUGGGUCCACAAAUCAUUGCAUUGUUACAAUUAGGGUAAAGUAAAAUACAAAAACAAUAUUAAUACACAAUAUAUACAAUAUUUAACAUAGAGCAGGCAGGAAAUAUAUAAUCAAGUAUGUCACAAUGGUGAGUCCUGUAAUUACAUUGUAGCACAAAUCGGCAGAACGAGUUAUACAAUGUGUUGAGUUUAUUAAUGUGGGAUUGCGGUGCAGAUGCAUAUACUACAUCCCCAUAAUCAAUGAUUGGCAUCAGUAUUUGCAGUACAAUCUUUUCC